GGGUGUGUUUUGGGAACUACAAAUCCCAUCAGCCUUAGUGCUAUAAAAGGAAGUGGUAUGAUUCGUUCUUUCACUUCCUCCUUUGGUCCUUCCGCUAAUCCAUGAAAGGUAGCUACGACAAAGCUAAGGUAUGGCAUUGAUAUUAUAUGGGAAAUUAUCAGUCAUCGAGUUAUUUUAAAUAAUGCUUUUCUGUCUCUCGUACGCUUUGUGUGGUGAUUGAAUAGAAAACACAGCGCGAUGUAUUGCGUAAUGGCAAUAGACCAGCAGGAGUAAAGAUCGUUUGUCUGCAGUUGUAUAUCAAACACUAGUGAUAUUAGUGUCAAACAUAUGAGGCAUCGUUUGGCAGUAUUAAGGACUUGCUGGUUGCCUGAAUAUCACUAAAACAAGAUAAAGGAUGGUAGAGAUUUCAUUUUGACCCAUCGGUGGCUGCGGGGUUGCCUUCACUGGUGGAUGAUGGUGUGGUGGUUUGGUCACUCUUAUGUCUUUUUCUUUAGGUCUGCAGUGUGAUUUGCUGUGAGUGGAUUGCAGUGCGAGCACAUUUGUCUAACACAUUAUCUUCACACGAAUAGGUAACCUGUGGCCAUCCGGGGGUCGCUUUGUGUUUUAUUUUUGGUUUGUUUCUUUUGAUUUCUUUGUGGGUAUCUGCAUUGGAGAUUUGCGUUACAUCUUUAUGUCUUUAUUUGUUUGAAUAAAA